UACGAAGGGGGCUAGCGUUGCUCGGAAUCACUGGGCGUAAAGGGUGCGUAGGCGGGUCUUUUAAGUCAGGGGUGAAAUCCUGGAGCUCAACUCCAGAACUGCCUUUGAUACUGAAGAUCUUGAGUCCGGGAGAGGUGAGUGGAACUGCGAGUGUAGAGGUGAAAAUUCGUAGAUAUUCGCAAGAACACCAGUGGCGAAGGCGGCUCACUGGCCCGGUACUGACGCUGAGGCACGAAAGCGUGGGGAGCAAACAGG
rnacentral:rRNA from 1 species